ACUAGCAUUUCAAGCUGUGUAAUGUGUGCUCUCUAAACUACUGUGAACACAUUCUUCCAAGCAACUAUUAUUAAUUAAGUCUGGUGACAGGCGCAUAAGGCGACGUCUGCCAAUCACAUCACAACAAGUCAUGCCACGGGGUAAGCGUCGAGCUCCAGAAAUAGGCGAAACCAUGGAUAGUCAAUCAAAAAGAGCCCGAACGAGCUAUACCAGCAUACCGACACAGCACGGCAGGCGCCAUAUCAGAGCUGAAGACAGCUUCAGUCAUAAACGAUGUCUGACAUGGUUCCAGGAAUACACAACUCCCGAUGAGCCAGAGACACUGGGUCCUGACGGAAUGGAAAAGUUCUGCGAAGAUAUAGGAGUGGCGCCGGAAAACAUUGUGAUGCUGGUCCUCGCCUACAAAAUGGGCGCCACCCAGAUGGGCUUCUUCAGCCAGAAGGAAUGGUUGAAGGGCCUCACAGAGCUCGAGUGUGACUCAACAAUGAAAAUGGUUGUGAAACUGGACUAUCUGCGUAGCAUACUCAACGAUGCCAACUCCUUCAAGAGCAUUUACAGAUAUGCCUAUGAUUUCGCCAAGGACUCGGACCAAAGGAGUAUGGACAUCAAUACGGCCAAGGCCAUGUUGGCGUUGCUGCUGGGCAAGCAUUGGCCACUCUAUCCGCAGUUCGCACAGUUUCUAGAGCAGUCAAAGUACAAGGUGAUCAACAAGGAUCAGUGGUGUAACAUACUAGAGUUUUCGCGCACAAUCUGCAUGGACUUGUCUAACUACGAUAUUGACGGCGCAUGGCCGGUCAUGUUGGAUGAGUUCGUAGAGUGGAUGCGCAUGCAGCGGAAUCAGGUCUCCAGCUCGGUAUCCAGCUGAGAGAUGCUGUAUCAAUUCGCCUAUUUCUAGUUCAACUGCUGGAUAUCAAUGAGGAGGAGGAGGAGACAGGAGAGGAGUUCACCAAUUUAAGAUCAGCGGAACUAAGACCCCGUACCCAGCCUGCAUCCCAUAUCCUGUAUCCCUGUAUACGCCCCAUACACGCACUCAAAACGACACUCACUCGCAGAGACACACAAACACACAAGGCAUUUGGAGAGACUGCGUACACUGGCAAAGCAAACCAACUAUGAAACUACACUAUUGAUAUAAUAUUUAAUGAGUCAUUGAAUACAAGAAUACAAGAAAGAACAGCAGAAAAAGCCAAAUUGGGGGCCGCUCGCAAAAAGAAAAACCCACUAAAAAGAAGCGAUGGAAAUAACCGAGAAAACCCCCAACCCCCAAGAAAAACGAAACUUUUCAAGAUAUCUGCACUAUAGUCAAAAUCAACGAAAGUCGACACCAAUCCUGGGCAAAUCGUAAUCGUUAAUAAAUCAAUGUAGGAAGAACACAACUUUUGGGGAAUAUUUAAUAAAUAUGCAUAUUAAGUGAAUACAGUGA